CUUUGACCUCCAGGUUUGUCACAGGCUUUGGUCGUCGUUGCUGUCGUACGGUCUCUUGCAUGCUGCAGCUGCAUUGUUACUGGCGUUAGGCAUCCACCUAGCAUGAGAAAUGGGAAGUGUACGGAGUGUGGAGUUCUUCACGCUGGACAAAGAGCCGGCUGCAGAGCUGAUCGCCGCCACAGUGGAGAGCAGUAUCCUGCCUCGUGACGAGCUUCUUCAGUAUAUCAAGGUAAGACAACAUUAACCCUUGUGCCCUCCUCAAAUGUAUUUAUAUUUUCUGCUGUGAAGUUAAACAACUUCUGACUUGCUCAAAACUACCAAACAUUCAAUUAUUUUCAGGAUUGUAACCCUUUAAAUGCUAAGUUAUUAGAUAAAAGGUGAUUAGAGUCUUGGAUAUGUGAAAGACUAACAACAAAGUUGAUUUGAUUGCAUUUGUCAUCAUCAAUUUUUCCUUUUGUAUAAAUUGCUGUUUUUUCUGCUGUUGUUUUCUGCUCUUUUUACGGCUUUUGAUGGUAGGGAAAGAGGGAGCCUGGUGAAAGACUGAGGGAGUCUGACUGAGUUCCUUUUUCCGACCUGGUCCCCCUGGACAAUUUUUUUUGACUACCUCGACCACUUUUUCGACCACUGUUACAAAAAACUCGGCAUCAUGAGCACGCCAUCUUCACUCACCAAGAAAACUGAGAAAUCCAGCCACUCUCCAUAUUACAAAAGAGCACCUUCAGACUCACUGCCCAGCACAGGUACAACUCCAUCCACAUCCCCGAACCCCCCUUGCAGAAUAAUACUCCUCUCAAUCGAAAAUAGAGCUCGCCAUUUUUAAGUUAAUAUGAAUCACUCUUAAAGUUGGAAAAAGUUGAGUUAACACAACAUUUUCCUAGACUUGAAGUAAAACUAACUUAGAACUUUAUGUUAUCAUGACUUUUUGUUUUUACAGUGCAUACCCAACUCUCUCUGUCCCUGAUUUCCAACUCUAUCAACUGUCCUAUCUCUACAAUAACGGCAUAAAAAGACACCAUUUUACAUCAGAAAACUCUACUUAGGCAUCUGACACACAAGACCAGAAAAAAGAAAAGGGGGCACCUCUCCACGGAGGUUGCCAAAAUUGACACAGACAGAAUGUUCCUCACAUGAGCUAAAAAUAAAAGUUUAGAAGACCCAACAACACACUAUCCAACAUGGUCUAACAGAAGAAAAACAAAUAAAUAGUUUGACAUUGACUACUAUAAAAUGAUAAAGACAAAUAGACAUGGAGAAAACAAUCAGUAACCUGAGUU